CCUACGGGUGGCAGCAGUGGGGAAUAUUGGACAAUGGGGGCAACCCUGAUCCAGCCAUGUCGCGUGUGUGAAGAAGGCCCUCGGGUUGGAAAGCACUUUCAGUGAGGAAGAACGCCUGGUGGUUAAUACCCAUCAGGAAAGACAUCACUCACAGAAGAAGCACCGGCUAACUCCGUGCCAGCAGCCGCGGUAAUACGGAGGGUGCGAGCGUUAAUCGGAAUUACUGGGCGUAAAGCGCGCGUAGGUGGCUUGAUAAGCCGGUUGUGAAAGCCCCGGGCUCAACCUGGGAACGGCAUCCGGAACUGUCAAGCUAGAGUGCAGGAGAGGAAGGUAGAAUUCCCGGUGUAGCGGUGAAAUGCGUAGAGAUCGGGAGGAAUACCAGUGGCGAAGGCGGCCUUCUGGACUGACACUGACACUGAGGUGCGAAAGCGUGGGUAGCAAACAGGAUUAGAUACCCGUGUAGUC
rnacentral:rRNA from 1 species